AGCUUUGCGCAGUGGCAGUAUCGUAGCCAAUGUUUAUCUGAGGCGCGAUUAUUGCUAAUUGAAAACUUUUCCCAAUACCCCACCAUGACAACUUGAAAUAUAGUCGGCAUUGGCAAUUUCUGACAGUCUCUAUGGAGA
rnacentral:snRNA from 1 species